CUUAGCUCAUCCUCAGAAGCAGCAUAGGGGAUGUCAAUCUUGUUUCCGAGCACAAGGAAUGGAACAUCAGCCAGCGCUUCAUCUGAAAGGAGAGCAUCAAGCUCCUUUUUCGAUUCGGUAAACCGCUCUUUGUCAUAGGCAUCAACCAGAGUGGUUUUGCCGGCAUUGUCGAGGCCGAGAAAGAGAAUUUUAGCCUCUUUUUGCCAGAGGCCGAGAGAUGCUAAGACGCCGUAGAACCAAUCGACGAGAAACAUAAUCGCCGAUUGAUGAUAGAAUGUGUAAGGAAUGAAGCCGGAAAAAUCACCGGAGAGUGGAAUGAGAAUGAAGUAUGAAGAGGAAUGUAGAUUCAAAGGAAGAAGAAAGAUGGAGAUCUGAAAAAGUCAUUUCACAAUUUUGUUUUUAAUAAGGAAAAUAAAAACAAAAAGGAUUUGGCGUUACAAACUGUUAUGUGCUGCAACGAACCAUAUGGACUUAUUGGGUUUUCUUCUUGCUUGCUUUGAUGACUUGCGUUAUUGUUAAUAAAGUGAUUGAAUUCUUAGUCCUAUUCUAAAAACAAAACCAAUUUUUAAAA